UCGUGUCAUCGCGAGGAAGGCCAGAAUCGAGGGAGAGAGAGAGAGCCGCAAGGAGAAGGAGGCGUCACCGUCUCGUGUCGUCGUCGUCACCGUUGAGGUCUUCAUCGUUGCCGUCCAUGGAGGUUUGCAAACAGAGAGAAGACGCGCCAUUCUACCCAGAGCCGCCACGGGAAGGGUCGUCGCCGUCAAGCCCAGCCACCAUCGCGGCCGUUCGUGCCUCCGUUUCGCGCCGCCAGAUCUGUCGCCGGGAGAGAAACAGAAUGCGCGUGGAGAGAGAAGUGGUCGCAGGGAGGUUCUGCCGCCGUUAGAACUCCGCUGCUGCUGCUGCUGCUAAGGCCGCCGCGCCUCUGCCACCAAGAAACGCCAAGGAGGGACGUCCGCUGCGUUGUUCCUGUCGCCGUUUGGAUGUACCUAAACCAAGUCGUCGUUGCCUAUCCCGAUUUCCGAGACUAUCGCCAGCUCUAUUUUGUCGCUACUCCGGUCCAAAUUCUGUGCUCAUUCAUUUUAUUCCACUUCAAUCCUCCUUAUCUUGAAUUCGACACUCUGGGUUUUGUCUCUUCGGUCCGUUAGGACCAUGCUAGUCUUGAUGAUGAUGCUGAUAAGGAAUGGUUAUAGAAUAAGGAAUAUGGUGAAGCUUUUUCGGUGAUUUCAACAAUUACUUAUGCCCUAAAGCCUCUUAUGCUAUGAUGAUAUUGUUCUGCUGGACUUUGUUUUGUUUUGUUCGCUU